GGGUUGUGAGGUUAAGCGACUAAGCGUACACGGUGGAUGCCCUGGCAGUCAGAGGCGAUGAAGGACGUGCUAAUCUGCGAUAAGCGUCGGUAAGGUGAUAUGAACCGUUAUAACCGGCGAUUUCCGAAUGGGGAAACCCAGUGUGAUUCGUCACACUAUCAUUAACUGAAUCCAUAGGUUAAUGAGGCGAACCGGGGGAACUGAAACAUCUAAGUACCCCGAGGAAAAGAAAUCAACCGAGAUUCCCCCAGUAGCGGCGAGCGAACGGGGAGCAGCCCAGAGCCUGAAUCAGUGUGUGUGUUAGUGGAAGCGUCUGGAAAGGCGCGCGAUACAGGGUGACAGCCCCGUACACAAAAAUGCACAUGCUGUGAGCUCGAUGAGUAGGGCGGGACACGUGGUAUCCUGUCUGAAUAUGGGGGGACCAUCCUCCAAGGCUAAAUACUCCUGACUGACCGAUAGUGAACCAGUACCGUGAGGGAAAGGCGAAAAGAACCCCGGCGAGGGGAGUGAAAAAGAACCUGAAACCGUGUACGUACAAGCAGUGGGAGCACAGAGCAAUCUGUGUGACUGCGUACCUUUUGUAUAAUGGGUCAGCGACUUAUAUUCUGUAGCAAGGUUAACCGAAUAGGGGAGCCGAAGGGAAACCGAGUCUUAACUGGGCGUUAAGUUGCAGGGUAUAGACCCGAAACCCGGUGAUCUAGCCAUGGGCAGGUUGAAGGUUGGGUAACACUAACUGGAGGACCGAACCGACUAAUGUUGAAAAAUUAGCGGAUGACUUGUGGCUGGGGGUGAAAGGCCAAUCAAACCGGGAGAUAGCUGGUUCUCCCCGAAAGCUAUUUAGGUAGCGCCUCGUGAAUUCAUCUCCGGGGGUAGAGCACUGUUUCGGCAAGGGGGUCAUCCCGACUUACCAACCCGAUGCAAACUGCGAAUACCGGAGAAUGUUAUCACGGGAGACACACGGCGGGUGCUAACGUCCGUCGUGAAGAGGGAAACAACCCAGACCGCCAGCUAAGGUCCCAAAGUCAUGGUUAAGUGGGAAACGAUGUGGGAAGGCCCAGACAGCCAGGAUGUUGGCUUAGAAGCAGCCAUCAUUUAAAGAAAGCGUAAUAGCUCACUGGUCGAGUCGGCCUGCGCGGAAGAUGUAACGGGGCUAAACCAUGCACCGAAGCUGCGGCAGCGACGCUGAUGCGUUGUUGGGUAGGGGAGCGUUCUGUAAGCCUGUGAAGGUGUGCUGUGAGGCAUGCUGGAGGUAUCAGAAGUGCGAAUGCUGACAUAAGUAACGAUAAAGCGGGUGAAAAGCCCGCUCGCCGGAAGACCAAGGGUUCCUGUCCAACGUUAAUCGGGGCAGGGUGAGUCGACCCCUAAGGCGAGGCCGAAAGGCGUAGUCGAUGGGAAACAGGUUAAUAUUCCUGUACUUGGUGUUACUGCGAAGGGGGGACGGAGAAGGCUAUGUUGGCCGGGCGACGGUUGUCCCGGUUUAAGCGUGUAGGCUGGUUUUCCAGGCAAAUCCGGAAAAUCAAGGCUGAGGCGUGAUGACGAGGCACUACGGUGCUGAAGCAACAAAUGCCCUGCUUCCAGGAAAAGCCUCUAAGCAUCAGGUAACAUCAAAUCGUACCCCAAACCGACACAGGUGGUCAGGUAGAGAAUACCAAGGCGCUUGAGAGAACUCGGGUGAAGGAACUAGGCAAAAUGGUGCCGUAACUUCGGGAGAAGGCACGCUGAUAUGUAGGUGAAGUCCCUCGCGGAUGGAGCUGAAAUCAGUCGAAGAUACCAGCUGGCUGCAACUGUUUAUUAAAAACACAGCACUGUGCAAACACGAAAGUGGACGUAUACGGUGUGACGCCUGCCCGGUGCCGGAAGGUUAAUUGAUGGGGUCAGCGCAAGCGAAGCUCUUGAUCGAAGCCCCGGUAAACGGCGGCCGUAACUAUAACGGUCCUAAGGUAGCGAAAUUCCUUGUCGGGUAAGUUCCGACCUGCACGAAUGGCGUAAUGAUGGCCAGGCUGUCUCCACCCGAGACUCAGUGAAAUUGAACUCGCUGUGAAGAUGCAGUGUACCCGCGGCAAGACGGAAAGACCCCGUGAACCUUUACUAUAGCUUGACACUGAACAUUGAGCCUUGAUGUGUAGGAUAGGUGGGAGGCUUUGAAGUGUGGACGCCAGUCUGCAUGGAGCCGGCCUUGAAAUACCACCCUUUAAUGUUUGAUGUUCUAACGUUGACCCGUUAUCCGGGUUGCGGACAGUGUCUGGUGGGUAGUUUGACUGGGGCGGUCUCCUCCUAAAGAGUAACGGAGGAGCACGAAGGUUGGCUAAUCCUGGUCGGACAUCAGGAGGUUAGUGCAAUGGCAUAAGCCAGCUUGACUGCGAGCGUGACGGCGCGAGCAGGUGCGAAAGCAGGUCAUAGUGAUCCGGUGGUUCUGAAUGGAAGGGCCAUCGCUCAACGGAUAAAAGGUACUCCGGGGAUAACAGGCUGAUACCGCCCAAGAGUUCAUAUCGACGGCGGUGUUUGGCACCUCGAUGUCGGCUCAUCACAUCCUGGGGCUGAAGUAGGUCCCAAGGGUAUGGCUGUUCGCCAUUUAAAGUGGUACGCGAGCUGGGUUUAGAACGUCGUGAGACAGUUCGGUCCCUAUCUGCCGUGGGCGCUGGAGAACUGAGGGGGGCUGCUCCUAGUACGAGAGGACCGGAGUGGACGCAUCACUGGUGUUCGGGUUGUCAUGCCAAUGGCACUGCCCGGUAGCUAAAUGCGGAAGAGAUAAGUGCUGAAAGCAUCUAAGCACGAAACUUGCCCCGAGAUGAGUUCUCCCUGACUCCUUGAGAGUCCUGAAGGAACGUUGAAGACGACGACGUUGAUAGGCCGGGUGUGUAAGCGCAGCGAUGCGUUGAGCUAACCGGUACUAAUGAACCGUGAGGCUUAACCUUACAACGCCGAAGCUGUU
rnacentral:rRNA from 1 species